GCCUGGGUGGCUCAGUCGGUUGAGUGUCUGAUUUCGGCUCAGGUCAUGAUCUCGCAGUCUGUGAGUUCGAGCCCCGCAUCGGGCU
rnacentral:tRNA from 1 species